UACAGAGGUCUCAAGCGUUGUUCGGAUUCAUUGGGCGUAAAGGGUGCGUAGGCGGCGGGGUAAGUCGGGUGUGAAAUCUCAGAGCUCAACUCUGAAACUGCACUCGAUACUGCUCUGCUUGAGGACUGGAGAGGAGACUGGAAUUCACGGUGUAGCAGUGAAAUGCGUAGAUAUCGUGAGGAAGACCAGUGGCGAAGGCGGGUCUCUGGACAGUUCCUGACGCUGAGGCGCGAAGGCCAGGGGAGCAAACGGGG
rnacentral:rRNA from 1 species